UACAGAGGGUGCUAGCGUUGUUCGGAAUCAUUGGGCGUAAAGGGCGUGUAGGCGGUUUGUUAAGUCAUGUGUGAAAUCCCUCGGCUCAACCGGGGAAGGACGCAUGAAACUGGCAAGCUAGAGUACCAAAGAGGGGGGUGGAAUUCCCGGUGUAGCGGUGAAAUGCGUAGAUAUGUGGAGGAACACCGAUGGCGAAGGCAGCCCCCUGGGUUAACACUGACGCUCAUGCACGAAAGCGUGGGGAGCAAACAGG
rnacentral:rRNA from 1 species